CAUUGCUGAACGAUUUGAUUUGUUUGUGUCCAGAAACUCACAGAGGAAAAUAUUGUGAACACAAUAAGAAUGUUUUUGAAAAUCCGACAGCAGUAUCGAGUGAAAAUGAUGCCUUGGAAAGUUCUAGUGAAGAUAAUGAUAAUGAGAUUCCAAUAAAAUACAACACUGCUUACCACUUUAAUGGCAAUGAAAGACACGCCUACAGAAAUCGACUGACAAAAACGAGAUCCUUAUCCAAAGGCACUCGCUACCAAUUAGAGUUCAAAACCAAUUCCCAAAAUGGACUUAUGUUCUACCGAGCCAA